rnacentral:rRNA from 1 species
CUACGGGCCGCUCCAGUGGGGAAUAUUGCACAAUGGGCGCAAGCCUGAUGCAGCCAUGCCGCGUGUAUGAAGAAGGCCUUCGGGUUGUAAAGUACUUUCAGCGGGGAGGAAGGGAGUAAAGUUAAUACCUUUGCUCAUUGACGUUACCCGCAGAAGAAGCACCGGCUAACUCCGUGCCAGCAGCCGCGGUAAUACGGAGGGUGCAAGCGUUAAUCGGAAUUACUGGGCGUAAAGCGCACGCAGGCGGUUUGUUAAGUCAGAUGUGAAAUUCCCGGGCUCAACCUGGGAACUGCAUCUGAUACUGGCAAGCUUGAGUCUCGUAGAGGGGGGUAGAAUUCCAGGUGUAGCGGUGAAAUGCGUAGAGAUCUGGAGGAAUACCGGUGGCGAAGGCGGCCCCCUGGACGAAGACUGACGCUCAGGUGCGAAAGCGUGGGGAGCAAACAGGAUUAGAUACCCUAGUAGUC